rnacentral:lncRNA from 1 species
ACUUAGAUCUCUGGCCGCAAAGGAUUGAUCGGGUCUGGCUGAUCUAGCUACUGCUACUCGAUGAUCAAUCUGUCUGUUCCUCUUUCUUUCUUUCUUUCUUUCUUUCUUUCUUUCUUUUUGCGACUGAAAUGUGUUAGGAUGAUCUCCUCCCGAGUGGGCCGUUAGGCCCACCGGCCCCUUAGAUCUACAACGUCCUGAUCGGGGGCGCCCAAUCCACUAUGGUUGGCGGGCCCCUGUUACACU